GGCCGUCCAUAUUUUAUCUGAUCGGUUGGCCUUCCCCCCCCGGUUGACUCUAGUUUCUUUAGGACCAUGAUCAAAGAAGCGAACUUCUGGGGCAACGAUUUCGUCAUGUCGGGUAGCGACUGCGGCCACGUGUUCAUCUGGGAUAAAGACACGGCAAAACUGUGCAUGUUGCUCGAGGCUGAUCAACACGUGGUCAACUGUCUACAACCCCAUCCGUAUUUGCCUUUGCUGGCUACCGCAGGCAUCGAUUACGAUGUCAAGCUCUGGGCACCCAUAAACGACGAGUCCACCUUUGACGAGAACUUUGCCGAAGAUUUGAAAAAGAGGAACGCGAUCAUGUUGGAAGAGACCAGAGACACAAUGACCGUACCUGCUACUUUUAUGAUCAGAAUGCUGGCAUGUCUCAAUCAGAUACGCAGAGGUAGUGAAAAUUUAUAAUAAUACUCCCCAAGACUUCCUGGUAGUUCACUACACUAGUAUGACCGAAGAUACGUAGUUAAGAAAAUAAUAUACAGGAGAGUUUGGCAGCUUUUCCUGUUACGUGCAGGUCGCGGUCGGAACAGGGGGAGAAGCGGACACGAGCCCACCGAAUUACGAGGUUGCUAAGCGAUUUUCGACGAAAUUUUUGGGAGGUCGGUCCCGACGACACAGCAUAUCACAAUGUCGACAGUCCCAACCGACUAAUCAGGUUGAAAAAAAGAAAAAAAAAGAAA